UACGAAGGGGGCUAGCGUUGCUCGGAAUUACUGGGCGUAAAGGGCGCGUAGGCGGAUACUUAAGUUAGAGGUGAAAGCCCAGGGCUCAACCCUGGAAUAGCCUUUAAUACUGGGUAUCUUGAGUUCGGGAGAGGUGAGUGGAAUGUCGAGUGUAGAGGUGAAAUUCGUAGAUAUUCGGCGGAACACCAGUGGCGAAGGCGACUCACUGGCCCGAUACUGACGCUGAGGCGCGAAAGCGUGGGGAGCAAACAGG
rnacentral:rRNA from 1 species